rnacentral:rRNA from 2 species
CUCAGGAUGAACGCUAGCGGCAGGCUUAACACAUGCAAGUCGAGGGGUAUAAGUCUUCGGAUUUAGAGACCGGCGCACGGGUGCGUAACGCGUAUGCAAUCUACCUUUUACAGAGGGAUAGCCCAGAGAAAUUUGGAUUAAUACCUCAUAGUAUAGCAGCUUCGCAUGAAGCCACUAUUAAAGUCACAACGGUAAAAGAUGAGCAUGCGUCCCAUUAGCUAGUUGGUAAGGUAACGGCUUACCAAGGCUACGAUGGGUAGGGGUCCUGAGAGGGAGAUCCCCCACACUGGUACUGAGACACGGACCAGACUCCUACGGGAGGCAGCAGUGAGGAAUAUUGGACAAUGGGCGCAAGCCUGAUCCAGCCAUGCCGCGUGCAGGAUGACGGUCCUAUGGAUUGUAAACUGCUUUUAUACGAGAAGAAACA